rnacentral:rRNA from 1 species
CAAACCAAAAGACUGGCGACCGGCGCACGGGUGAGUAACACGUAUCCAACCUGCCUCAUACUCGGGGAUAGCCUUUCGAAAGAAAGAUUAAUAUCCGAUAGCAUAUAUUUCCCGCAUGGGUUUUAUAUUAAAGAAAAUUCGGUAUGAGAUGGGGAUGCGUUCCAUUAGUUUGUUGGGGGGGUAACGGCCCACCAAGACUACGAUGGAUAGGGGUUCUGAGAGGAAGGUCCCCCACAUUGGAACUGAGACACGGUCCAA